ensembl:rRNA 5S_rRNA 5S ribosomal RNA
GUCUAUGGCCAUACUAGCCUGAAUGUGCCCGAUCUCAUCUGAUCUCAGAAGCUAAGCAGGAUCGGGCCUGGUUAGUACUUGGAUGGGACACAUUCGUGCUAUCCAAGAUUUAUUAUGUAUG